rnacentral:rRNA from 1 species
ACGCUCGACACCUACGGGAGACAGCAGUGGGGAAGUAUUGCACAAUGGGGGAAACCCGUGAUGCAGCGACGCCGCGUGGAGGAAGAAGGUCUUGGAUUGAAACUCCUGUUGUUGGGGAAAAGGNGGAUGGGUACCCAANAGGAAGUGACGGCUAACUAGUCGCCAAGCAGCUGCGGUAAUCUGAGCGGNNGGCAGC